UUACCUGGGCUCGAACGUAAGAUGACUGUAGGUGAAAGCUUACAUCUCUUCGGAGCAUUUUACGGAGGUGCUGCAGUGGUUGUCGUCAGCUCGUGCCGUGAGGUGCGGGUUAAGUCCCAUAACGAGCGCAACCCCUACCUUUAGUUGCCAUCAGGUAAUGCUGGGGACUCUAAAGGAACUGCCUACGCAAGUAGUGAGGAAGGUGGGGAUGACGUCAAAUCAGCACGGCCCUUACGUCCAGGGCGACACACGUGCUACAAUGGCCGGCACAACGGGAAGCGAGUUCGCGAGGACGAGCGGAUCCCUCAAAGCCGGUCGCAGUUCGGAUUGAAGUCUGCAACCCGACUUCAUGAAGCUGGAAUCGCUAGUAAUCGUGGAUCAGCCAAGCCGCGGUGAAUACGUUCCCGGGCCUU
rnacentral:rRNA from 1 species